UGCAUUUUUGCUUUCUGUUCAUACUUACUUUAUAACUAUAAUUAAAACAUACACAAUCAUUGCAACAGUCGACUUUAACUCACAGCCAAAACAAAAGGUAAAAAGAAAAAAAGAAAACAAAAAGGAAAAAUCCAAAAAUGCUUUAUAUCACACCAUGACCCAAGAUUGACAUCAGACAAAUACCCAACAUUUCCUCUCUCUUCUCUCUCUCUCAUUAGACAUAGCAACAAGACGAGGACGAAGCACCCUAAACUAAGAAUAGAUCACUAGAAGUUCCUUUCACUUUCUGUUCUGCCACCUGCUUGGUUUUUUUCCCAAGAGAAAAAUAAAAAAAGAGCUCUCUGAAGUUGGUUUCCAAUAGCAGUAGCACACCUUCUUCUAAGCCAAAUUUCUCUUCUUUCUUUCAAGCACCACAACCAAUGCAUUUUGACUCUCACUCCUCAUUGACUCUGUCUCUUUCUCCAUUGUCAGAGCUCGGACUCCAAGAAGCUCAUACCCCAUCUCUCUGAGAGACAAAGGAGGAAAACAAAACAUAUUUUCUACACAAAAAAAAAAAAAAAAAAACCAUCAGAUCCUUUUUCAUUUCUUUUUCUCGUCUCAAGCUGCACCACUUUUUCCAACGGUUUUCUUUUGGAGAGAACCUUUUGGUUUAUAAUAUCAGAUCCAAUCCAAACAAAGAGCGGCUUUGUCUCUUCUCUUUUUUCUAGGGUCUUGAGCUAGUCAUACAGAAAGAUUCCAUGCAUCUUGUUCUGGAGCAUCAGAGCGAAAGAGAUGGCUUCAAAACUGGGUCUGCUGCCUCCGAUCAUCAUCAUCAUCAUCAUCAUCAGCUUAGAAGUUCUUCUUCUGCUGAAUCUAGUGCUGGUUUUGGAGGAGACAGAAAUACUGAAGAUGGUGACGGUUCUCUUUUCGGUGAUGAAAAGAGAAGAAUCCACACUGGUCCCAAUCCUUUGCAUAAUAGAUAAGCAGAGAGAAUAGAAUAGGAAAAAGAAAAAGAAAAAAAAAAAAACAAAAAAAUAUUGAUUUUUUCUGUUCUUUCUACAUUCCCAGGUUUUGAGAUUUUAUUUUAUUUUUCCUUUAUAUAUAGAUGGGAUUGCUGAAUAUCUGCUGUAUUGUCCAUAUGUGAAUGUUUUACGCAAUAUUGCUUUAAUUGCCUUCAAAAGAGUCUUUGAUUUUUGAGGAAUUAAGGAAGAUAUAUAAAUUAGUGGAGAUUGUAUGUUACAUAUUGCCGAAAGAAGAAGAAAACUAUUCUGAAAUUGCAAACCCAUAUAUAAAUGGAGAUGUUGGCAUUUGGUGUAUGACUAUUCGGAAGGUUUUUAUUAGAGUUGGUGGAGUUUUUACUUUUUUGGUUUUUGGUGGUUGUAAAUUAACAUAUAUAAUUUAUGGAUCCAGCUCUAAUAAUAUUUUUUAACAGUGAUUUUGGUUAA